AUUGAACGCUGGCGGCAGGCCUAACACAUGCAAGUCGAGCGGAUGACGGGGCUUGCUCCUUGAUUCAGCGGCGGACGGGUGAGUAAUGCCUAGGCAUCUGCCUGGUAGUGGGGGACAACGUUUCGAAGGGAACGCUAAUACCGCAUACGUCCUACGGGAGAAAGCAGGGGACCUUCGGGCCAUGCGCUCUCAGCUGAGCCUAGGUCGGAUUAGCUAGUAGGUGAGGUAAUGGCUCACCUAGGCGACGAUCCGUGACUGGUCUGAGAGGAUGAUCAGUCACACUGGAACUGAGACACAGUCCAGACUCCUACGGGAGGCAGCAGUGGGGAAUAUUGGACAAUGGGCGAAAGCCUGAUCCAGCCAUGCCGCGUGUGUGAAGAAGGUCUUCGGAUUGUAAAGCACUUUAAGUUGGGAGGAAGGGCAGUAAGCUAAUACCUUGCUGUUUUGACGUUACCGACAGAAUAAGCACCGGCUAACUCUGUGCCAGCAGCCGCCGUAAUAC
rnacentral:rRNA from 1 species